UACGUAGGGUGCGAGCGUUGUCCGGAAUUACUGGGCGUAAAGAGCUCGUAGGCGGUUUGUCGCGUCGUCUGUGAAAUCCCGCAGCUCAACUGCGGGCUUGCAGGCGAUACGGGCAGACUCGAGUACUGCAGGGGAGACUGGAAUUCCUGGUGUAGCGGUGAAAUGCGCAGAUAUCAGGAGGAACACCGGUGGCGAAGGCGGGUCUCUGGGCAGUAACUGACGCUGAGGAGCGAAAGCGUGGGUAGCGAACAGGAUUAGA
rnacentral:rRNA from 1 species